UUUCCUCUGCUUUAGGACACAUUCUUGUUGUAGCCUGUGGGUAUUUGGUGUGUCUACCAAAUAUUUUUGUAUGCAAAGAUUAGACAGAUGCCAACCGUGAGAGCCUUUUCGGUAUUUUCUAAAAAAAAAAAAAAGGGAAUAGAGAACAGGUUCACANNNNNNNNNNNUUCGGCUGUACUAUGUUCAAACUUAUGGUAGGAACUUCCCAGGUUGAAUUCAUAAUAGGAG
rnacentral:misc_RNA from 1 species